GAGGUGACCUUCUGCAGAGCUAAAUGAAGCUGUGAAAGUCGCCUCGCCUUGGCCUUGGGAUGCGCCCCAAAUGUGAGGCGUCUCGGCCGCUGCCAGGAGGCUGGCUGGGAGCACACUGGAUCCCUUGGGGAGGGCAUGCUGUCCUUAGCACAGAGCAACCCCCUCCUGGCAGCCAUUUUAUCGCAUCUCUUACUCCUCGGCUUCUUCCCAGCACAGGCCUCCGUGGAGCGCAGUUCACUCCGGGGUCUGCGGCGGGAAGCGGGCGCGCCCCACAGUGCGCGCUCGCCGCGCAGUCUCUUUGCCUUCCCCACCUUACGUGCAGCUUCGCGCCCGGAAGGGUUGGUUUUCGUGGUGGUUUGAUGUUGGGAGGGGAAGUGGAAAUCAAAUUCCCGGCAGACUGGGGUGCGAUUUCACAUGUUGAUCCUAUUGCGGGUGCGUAAAGGGAAAGGAGACGGAGAUGUGAUUCUUGGAGAAAUGAAGAUUUGAAGAGGUAAAGAAUUAACUUACCAAGGUCACAAAGCCGUAAGAAUACAGACCUGCUUUUCUGGUUUAACUACGCCAAGUCAAAAAAAGCGAGGUGUGGAAUUAACUGCGUUGAAAAAUGAAAACUUUUGAUCUCAGUCUCCUUCACACUGUAAAUUAUUGAGGACCCCAAGGACUUUCAUUUUUUCCUCCAGUCCUCUACCAGUGCCUCCCAGUGGCCUAAACCAGCAGGAGCCAUAUGAAAAAGAAGUCUGGAAGAUGCUAGUCCUUCACAGGAGGAUACGAGAAUGGCAACGAGAAGAUCUGAGGACUACGAGAUUUAGGACGAACAAAUCUAGGAGCCAGAAGAUAUACCUGCUAGUAGACGCUAUGAUCUUAAAAAAGUCUUGAACCAAUGUGACCUUCAGAAUUUUUCAUCUGUAAAAUGAAACAUUGGGCUAGACGGUCCCUGAAACUUCUUAAAGUCCAUGGUUCUAUGGUGGAAGGGGUUGGUACAGCUUUGAUUUCAUUGUCUGUUUAUACCUGGCUGAGUUCUCUUGUGACAUGUGACUGUCCUUCUUAAGAAACUGAAAGACAACCAAGUAGCUGAUUAUUGAGAUACCGAAAUGUUUUAGGGAAUGCAGAGAAUACAGCCUACCUGAUAUAAAGUCUGACAGCAACAACAAAAAUCUCUCUGGGCAACUGUAUUUAAUAAUUAAAACAAAAGGUUUGGAGGAAAUAUUCAAAUUGCCACUUUAACAGGAGAGUAAUCUGUGGUGAGAAUGCUUCAACAGUGAUAUGGACUGGCAUUAGAGCUAAAGAAUCCCAGCCUGAUUUGAUAGUGACUCUAGCUGUUUUAUGUUCCUCAGGAAUCCCAGGAUGUCUUUCAAACAAACAAACAAAACAAACAACAACAAUGACAUAUUAUCUUCAUCACUUAUCAGAGAUGAUUUUCCCAGAAUUGUUGGCUCAAAUUUUAGAAGAAGUUCUAGAAACUGAUUCAACCUAAAAUUAAAACCUGCUAGCUCUUCAUGUAAAUCAUGGAAUCAUUUGUUUGCUACUGAACCGCAUGUUGACAUUGAAGUACAGAUGUUUGAUGUUGAAUUCAUUCCUCUUUGUAUAACAGCAACUACAUGAUAAACCAGGGAAAAAAAUGGCAGCAUCUUUUAUAUCUUCAUUUGUUUGAAACAGAUAAAAAUAUUUCAUUUUCCUUAUUCGAUGUCAAAUUACCCAAUAAUGACAAAAUCUAAACUUACAUUUUCAAGGGAUUUUUAAAGUGUAUUAAAUUUGUAAAGGUAAAGCAAUACUUUAAAGUAAAUACACAGUUUGAAAUAUAUCAGUUAUGGAGCCAACUGAGAUGUCAACAAUUUAGUAGUUUUUAUCUCCGAAAAUAGAGAAUAUUCAGAAGCAGAUCCAGAAAGUUUCAUUUUAACCUCAGUUGGAACCAGGAAGAGGAACUGAGGUUGCUUACUAUCAGAUCAUAAUACAGUGGACACUGACAUUCUUCCACACAUUAAGUCAUUUGUACUUUCUCUUUGACAAAUUUAAAAUCUCAGAAGUUAAUUGUGGGAGCUAGUCCUGAUUCACCAAGAUCAACUAGCAGUUGCCGGAACAUUUUCUUUCAAAAGCUUGAAAAUGAAUCAAGUUUACUUGUUAAGAUGUCCAGCAAAUAGCAAGAUAAACAUGGUAAUAUACUCAGUUUUAAAUAUAUAAGUUUAUAUCAAUAAUAUAUUUAAAAUAGCAUACUUUAAGGUUACUAAUGAAUAUGUGAAGCAAAACGAAAAAUGUUAGUUUGCAAGAGAAACUGAUUUUAUUUGAUGACUUAUUUUACUUCAGUAAAAUAUUGGUUAAGCAGAAUAAUUGAAAAAAGAAAUAUCUGAGUAAGCAAAACUUUGAUUUGGCUAGAAAAUAAAGUAGAUUUUUCUUGCACUUGUAGCCUCACUCUUGAGAAUUUUAAGAAAUGAUCCUCCUUGUUUAAAUUCAAUUGGCCUUUAAUGGGCACAUAACACAUGCUGGGCAUUACAGUGGGAGGCUGAAAAGAAUACCAUAAAUAAAUAAUUCCCCUGGCUCUCAAGGAAUUCUUAGACUCAAUAAAUAGAGUACAUUGAACACAAGUGAAUUAUAUAUAUAUAUAUAUAUAAAAUAUAUGUGUGUGUGUGUAUAUGUAUAUAUAUUUCUAGAAUCCUUCAGACUUAAAUUCAGUUUCAGAAAAAAAAAAAAAAAAAACUCAUUUUGAGUUUCGAUUUCCAUUGCCUUAGCCUGUAGAUGGAAGUGGAGAAGAGCAGAGGAAGGAUCACUGGCUUUAGAAGAAGUCUUGAGGAUGAAACGAAAUAAUGUGUGUGAAUGCUCUUGGCAUAAUAUAUGCUACUUUGCUAAUAUCAACAGCAUUAAUAUUUAUUUAUUUAUUUAUUUAUUUAUUUAUUUAUUGUAUCAGUCACACGGCAGACAUUAUUAUGUUGACUGUCUCUCUGAUAAGAGCUUGCAGAUGGGAAGGAAGUUGGAUGUCACAGACUUUUUCUUGAUUAAUCAACCAAACAUGCAUUGUGUAUCUAUCAGAGUAAGACUGAACUACAUAGGUUGAGUCAUACAAACCAGGUUGCUCUGCGAACACAUAGGAAGGACAUCAAAACCAAAUGUUGGGUGCCAGAUACUGAUUCCUUAAGGAAACCAAUAUUUGAAGAAUGAGGUGAAUGUACCAUGUGAAUGUGGGUACGUUUUUAGACAGUUGUUUGCAAUUUAGAGCAGUUGUUUCUAUGAAACAAAUGAAGGAAUUGUUGGUUUCAGAAACUCAGACAUCAGUUAAAUUUUGAAGUUAGACCAAAAAAGCCUGUAAUUAUUUAUAAACUGAAAUAGAAUCCUUCUUUUAUAUAAAAUUUUGUCACAAACUAUUGGAAUGAGCUUACCUAGUAUGCAUUCUAUAUAAUAUAAUUAUUGAGAAAUGGAAUCUUAGCACCUGUCUGCCAGUGUUAAAUGGCAACUAAGGAGCAUUUAAUUCAUCAAAAAUGAACUGAGUUUCUAUUAAAUUGAUAGAGCUGUCAGAGGAUGAGGGAAUACAAAAGAGAUUUCAAAGUUGUCUCUUUUCCAGGAACUUACAAUCUGCUGGGAAAGACAUAGAUACAUAUGCACAUAACUAAACAAAAUUAGGUUUAAAAUAGAAUACGUACAAGUGUUAUACAGGUGAGUAAAGUAUGGAGCAUUUAGUUUUACAAUAUGUUAAGGAUUUAGAAGCAAUAAUAAACUAUGAAGAUAAACGGUGAUAGUUUAACACUGUCUCUAAUUCUCCAUUUGGCUCUGGAUAUUUAAAAUAACUUAAGCAGAAUUGUUUGUAUGCCCGGAUGUCAGAAUAUUGACUGUCUCUUUCCCCUUCCCAUUUGUCUUACAAUAAUUUUUUUUUACCAUCAAAUCUUUUCUGCCUAUGUUUUUGGAUUUUUAUAGCCCAACAAAAGGGUGUAUAUUACUCAGCAUUCUGUCAGAAUCGCCUAAUUUAGGAUCUUCAAAUUUGAGACGUGGAUCUUAGCUGAGGGGUUGGAGAGCAUUUAAGGUGUUCUUUGCUUUGGAUGUCAUGACAAAUAUAUGACUUCAGAAAGAAUAACAAAAACUUCGAUUUCUGCUAAACCUUUCAAAGAAGAGAUGCGUUGAAUCUAUUAAAAUCUCAGUUAAAACUCUGA